CCCGCGUAAUUUAGGCAUAUUAGUAAGCGGAGGAAGAACUAACAAGGAUUCCCUUAGUAGCUGCGAGCGAACAGGGAAGAGCCCAGCACUGAAUCUCGGAGGCAUCGCCUCCUGAGAAAUGUGGUGUUUGGGAGGGUUCACAUACCCGGUACCCUCGCACCGCGUCCAAGUCCAUCUUGAAAGAGGCCACGGUCCCCAGAGGGUGCCAGGCCCGUGGUAGGCCGGUGCAGGUGUUGGGUGAACGUCUCCUUAGAGUCAGGUUGCUUGAGAGUGCAGCCCUAAGCGGGUGGUAAACUCCAUCUAAGGCUAAAUACAACCACGAGACCGAUAGCGAACAAGUACCGUGAGGGAAAGUUGAAAAGAACUUUGAAGAGAGAGUUCAAGAGUACGUGAAACCGCUCAGGGGUAAACGGAAAAGACCCGAAAUUUCCGAAGAAGGAGAUUCAGUUCUUUCCGCAAGUUCAACGCAUCUGCUUCUCUUCGACGGCUCUGUUCUCGUCCGGACUUGUCCGGUGCGUGGUAAUGGUGACGCAGAGAGCAGUGUGGAGGCUUGCGGCGGACCGCACUUCUCCCUCAGUAGGACGUCGUGACCCGCCCGGUCAUGGUCUUACGGUCAUAGGGUGGAGCCUGUCUUUGACGUGUUCUACACGUUCUUGGGCAGACCCCUGUGUCCCGGCCAUGGGUUUCCCGGACGGUAUCAAAUGACGGUGUUCGGCCUCUCUUCAGCGGAGGAAACUCCUGCCAGAGAGCGCGAUUCGUUCUUGAACAAGGUGCUGAGAUGUUUCAGUCAAGGCGGGCUUCCGUCCGUCUGGCUGCUCUCGGCCCUGUUGGUUUUGGGACCUUUCGUUUGGCCUAUCUGCACUCGUCUACGGCGAAUCAGUUUUGGGUUCUUGUCCGACCCGUCUUGAAACACGGACCAAGGAGUUCAGCGUGUACGCGAGUCAUUGGGUGACAAAACCUAAAGGCGUAAUGAAAGUGAAGGAAACCUUCGUUUCUGAGGGAGGAUGAGUUGGUUACCCGCAAGGGGCCUCUCCGCACUCCCGGGGCGUCUCUUUCUCAUUGCGAGUGGAGGCGCACCCAGAGCGUACACGCUGAUACCCGAAAGAUGGUGAACUAUGCCUGGCCAGGACGAAGCCAGGGGAAACCCUGGUGGAGGUCCGCAGCGAUUCUGACGUGCAAAUCGAUCGUCGGAGCUGGGUAUAGGGGCGAAAGACCAAUCGAACCAUCUAGUAGCUGGUUCCCUCCGAAGUUUCCCUCAGGAUAGCUUGCGCUCACGUGAACGAGUCUCAUCCGGUAGAGCGAAUGAUUAGAGGCCUUGGGGUCGAAACGACCUCAACCUAUUCUCAAACUCCAAAUAGAUGAGAACUCCGGCUUUCUUGAAUUUUUUUUUUGAAGCCGGGGGCUCGGAUCAGAGUGCCAAGUGGGCCAAUUUUGGUAAGCAGAACUGGCGCUGUGGGAUGAUCCAAACGUCGAGUAAGGCGCGAAAUCGUCGCUCAUGUGAAACCAUGAAAGGCGUUGGUUGCUUAAGACAGCAGGACGGUGGCCAUGGAAGUCGGAAUCCGCUAAGGAGUGUGUAACAACUCACCUGCCGAAGCAACUAGCCCUGAAAAUGGAUGGCGCUGUAGCGACGUUGCCUAUACUCGACCGUCAACGGCAAAGAUGUCUAGGUGGGCAACUGUUUGGACGUUAAGCCUUGACGAGUAGGAGGGCCGCGGCGACGUGCGCAGAAGGGUCUGGGCGUGAGCCUGCCUGGAGCCGUCGUCGGUGCAGAUCUUGGUGGUAGUAGCAAAUACUCCAGCGAGGCCCUGGAGGACUGAUGUGGAGAAGGGUUUCUUGUGAACAGCUGUUGCACAAGAGUCAGUCGGUCGUAAGCCCUAGGAGAAAUCCGAAGCGAUGGGUUGCCGUUAAGAAAUUGAAAAAAUUUUUUUUCUGAAGGCACUCGUUUGGGCGAAAGGGAAUCCGGUUCCUAUUCCGGAACCUGGCAGUGGAACCGUUCCAAUUCGGGCCCUCUGAGGACUCGUCAGGGCAACCUGAAUAGACCCGGAGACGCCGACAGGAGGUUGGGGGAGAGUUGUCUCUUCUCUAUAAGCGAUCGAGUUCCCUGGAAACUUCUAGCAAGGAGAUAGGGUUUGGAUCGCGAAGAGCACUGCAGUUACGGCAGUGUCCCAAUCUUCCUCUCGGACCUUGAAAAUCCGGGUGAGGGCCACGAGGAACCCCACGCCAGACCGUACCCAUAUCCGCAGCAGGUCUCCAAGGUGCAAAGCCU
rnacentral:rRNA from 1 species